UUUAUUGGAGAGUUUGAUCCUGGCUCAGGAUGAACGCUGGCGGCGUGCCUAAUACAUGCAAGUCGAGCGAAUGGAUUAAGAGCUUGCUCUUAUGAAGUUAGCGGCGGACGGGUGAGUAACACGUGGGUAACCUGCCCAUAAGACUGGGAUAACUCCGGGAAACCGGGGCUAAUACCGGAUAACAUUUUGAACUGCAUGGUUCGAAAUUGAAAGGCGGCUUCGGCUGUCACUUAUGGAUGGACCCGCGUCGCAUUAGCUAGUUGGUGAGGUAACGGCUCACCAAGGCAACGAUGCGUAGCCGACCUGAGAGGGUGAUCGGCCACACUGGGACUGAGACACGGCCCAGACUCCUACGGGAGGCAG
rnacentral:rRNA from 1 species